rnacentral:rRNA from 1 species
GACGAACGCUGGCGGCGUGCUUAACACAUGCAAGUCGAACGAUGAAGCCGGAGCUUGCUCUGGUGAAUUAGUGGCGAACGGGUGAGUAACACGUGAGUAACCUGCCCUUGACUCUGGGAUAACUGCGGGAAACUGUAGCUAAUACCGGAUACGACCCUCGGAGGCAUCUCCUGGGGGUGGAAAGAAUUUCGGUCAAGGAUGGACUCGCGGCCUAUCAGCUAGUUGGUGAGGUAAAGGCUCACCAAGGCGACGACGGGUAGCCGGCCUGAGAGGGUGACCGGCCACCCGGGGACUGGGACACGGCCCAGACUCCUACGGGAGGCAGCAGUGGGGAAUAUUGCACAAUGGGCGCAAGCCUGAUGCAGCAACGCCGCGUGAGGGAUGACGGCCUUCGGGUUGUAAACCUCUUUUAGCAGGGAAGAAGCGAAAGUGACGGUACCUGCAGAAAAAGCACCGGCUAACUACGUGCCAGCAGCCGCCGUAA